ensembl:snRNA Gm24919 U6 spliceosomal RNA
GUGCUCUCUUUGAUAGCACGUAUUCUAAACUUAGAACAAAACAGGGAUUAGUUAGGCUCUGUGCAAGGCUGACAAGCUGAUUUAUGAAGCAUUCCAUGUUUAA